UGAGAAGUUAGCCAACCAUCCGGCUGGUAUGUGCAACCCGGGUGGUGGUUGACUUCUUUCU
rnacentral:pre_miRNA from 1 species